AAUGAAAAGACUCAUAUAUAUAUAUAAACUUAUACAUAUAUAAAUAUAUAUAUAUAAUUUUUUUUUUCCGCCUCCCUCGCACUCCUAAGAAAGUUUGGAGGGAUUCGGCAGUUUCGUGCGGCUCUGACAAAGCCGCGCCUCCUCUCCCCUCCGGGGCAGCUCGCUGGCGGCUGUUUGCAGUCGGCUUUUUCACCUGCGAACCACAACACGCUGCAGAAACAAACUUUGAAAGCGGAGGCGGCCCGUAGGCUCCCGGCGGGUGGAGCGGAGCGUUGUGCCCCGGGCUGGGGGGGGACCGCCGGCAUCGAGGGGUCAUCCCGCAUCUGCAGCAUCGGUUGUCGGCGUCCCCGGAGCCGACGUCCCUGCCCUAGCGGUUGUUGUAAGGGAUGGAGAGAACCAUCCCGCUUCUUGGGACGAUCCGCUCCCGAUGUUUGGCUGCGGGCGAGCCCCGAGCCGGGCGGCGGGCAGGAGGCGGCGGGGCUCCGCUCGCUGCCGGGGCUCGUCGGCUUCAGCAAAGUAUUUAAUUAGCCUCCACAAACUUCUUUUCCUCGCCUGCAGAUUAUACUGAGUGGAGGGUUGGGAACUAUUUUACACCUUGCCACUCACAUGUUAAUUAAUCUCUAUCUAACCCUAAUUGCAGUUUAUUCAAGCACCGCUCAACAGCUCACCCACACAAUAAACACUGGGGCUGCUUUUAUCCAUAUUACUCCCCGCUCACACGUUGAGUAAUUAACUCCAGUACCAACUAAUAGUGCAAACAAAUAUUUUCUGUAAACGAGAUGAUUUCGGGCAGGAUAAAAGAGGGCUGCGGAGCCGAGGCCGGGAGCUCUCUGCCAGCUUCUCCUCGCCGCCCUCGCCCUUCCCGGGCCGUCGUUCCCCGUUGCUCUCCGGUCCGUCCCCCCAGCUCUCCGCUACGCACCCCGCCCUGCUCGGGGCAGCGGGACCCGCAGGCCUCGGGGCUCCCCGGGAGCGAGGAGCCGCGGCGGGGACCCUGAGCGACAGCCCCGGGGCCGCCUCCUUCCCACGGCCCCGGAGGAAGCCCCAACGGAGCCCCCGCGGAGACCGGGGCCGGCCCGGGCCGUACCUCUGCGACGUGCCCGGGUGCCGCAUGCCUUGUGCGGCCGGGCUUUGGGAUCGCGGUUAAGACCCAAGCAUCGAAGCUCAGUAUUUUAAUUGAAAUCGCGGGUUUAGGCACAGCUGGAGGCUGUCUCUAUCGAUUCGACUUCUGCUGUUCCGGCAAGCGUAUUAAAAAUGACUGACUUUGAUACAGCUGCCCCAGUCACGGUGCCCUGCCCACCGCCGCGCCUUCGUCCUCUGCACGGCGAGCUCCGGCCGGUGUCAGCGGCUCUGGGGGGCCGGGAAGGGCCGCACGGUGGCUGGGAUGUGGGGUUCAAGCCUCGUUCUGCCUCUCCGUGCCGGCUGCUCCACGUCGGAGGCUUCAUCCCUCACCCCGACGUUAGGAGGAGAGAAAUGGUUUGAGGGGGUUUGUUUGGUUGUUGUUGUUUUUUUCCCUCUGGGAAUGCGCCCCGCAAAGCCGUUCACAACGCACGUGUUUAUUUACAGUUAUUAUUUACGUUUAUUAUUGUUAUUAUUAUUAUUUUUAUUUCUGUGUUUGCCUCUCGAGAAAAAACGACUCCCGGUGCCCGGCCAGACAGAGCGGCCCGACUCCGUGCCCAAACCUCUAAGCCUUUCCUCCCCUUUUUAACCCAACGCCAGUUUUCACGCUGGGAGCAGCCUCACCCCGCAGCCCCGGCCCCAAAAGCUCGUCGGGCUCUGACAUCGAAAUCCACCAGCCGUGUCCCCACCGCCUUCAGCAACCGAACGAAGGGAUCGCGUCCCACCGCCCCCGACGGCCGCCCGGCAUCCCGCGGUCCGACCCCUCCUGUACGGCCGCGUUCUGCUCCACUGGGAGAUAACCUGGGAUCCUCCUCGUUAUUUAACGUGGCAGCUGCUUAAACUCCGCAGCGGAAGCUGCCCGAAGUUGUUAGUGUUACGUUUUGAUGGCUUUCAGAAAUGGUGGCUUUGAUUCCUGCUCUGCAUUGCUUUAGGUGUGUAUAUACACAUAAGUGUACGUAUGUUUUCAAUGCUUCUUUCUUUUUUGACUUUUAUUUUUUAAUAGCAGAAGGUGAAAGGCACCCCUCUGAGCUGCCAGCCUAGGCAAUUAGAACAGAAUCAUCGGAUCCUAGAUUACCCCGAGGUGCAAGGAGCACUGAGUCCAACUCCAGGCCCCACAUGGGAUUGCCCCAGUCGCCGUGGCUCAGCACCGUGCCCAACCUCCCUGAACUCCAGCAGCUGGGAGUCUGCCUGUGUGUCCUGUGUUUGUAAAUGCCCUGCAGGCUGCUGCCAUUGGCUUCUUUAGGAGAAGAUACAGACUGAAGCCUAUUUGUGUGAGAGCUGACAGAA